rnacentral:rRNA from 1 species
CGAAUGGCUCAUUAUAUAAGUUAUCGUUUAUUUGAUAGUACCUUACUACUUGGAUAACCGUGGUAAUUCUAGAGCUAAUACAUGCUAAAAAUCCCGACUUCGGAAGGGAUGUAUUUAUUAGAUUAAAAACCAAUGCCCUCUGGGCUCUCUGGUGAUUCAUGAUAACUUCUCGAAUCGCAUGGCCUUGCGCCGGCGAUGGUUCAUUCAAAUUUCUUCCCUAUCAACUUUCGAUGUUUGGGUAGUGGCCAAACAUGGUUGCAACGGGUAACGGAGGGUUAGGGCUCGACCCCGGAGAAGGAGCCUGAGAAACGGCUACUACAUCCAAGGAAGGCAGCAGGCGCGCAAAUUACCCAAUCCCGAUUCGGGGAGGUAGUGACAAUAAAUACUGAUACAGGGCUCUUUUGGGUCUUGUAAUUGGAAUGAGUACAAUUUAAAUCCCUUAACGAGGAACAAUUGGAGGGCAAGUCUGGUGCCAGCAGCCGCGGUAAUUCCAGCUCCAAUAGCGUAUAUUAAAGUUGUUGUGGUUAAAAAGCUCGUAGUUGAACCUUGGGCCUGGCUGGCCGGUCCGCCUCACCGCGUGUACUGGUCCGGCCGGGCCUUUCCCUCUGUGGAACCCCAUGCCCUUCACUGGGUGUGGCGGGGAAACAGGACUUUUACUUUGAAAAAAUUAGAGUGCUCCAGGCAGGCCUAUGCUCGAAUACAUUAGCAUGGAAUAAUAAAAUAGGACGUGUGGUUCUAUUUUGUUGGUUUCUAGGACCGCCGUAAUGAUUAAUAGGGACAGUCGGGGGCAUCAGUAUUCAAUUGUCAGAGGUGAAAUUCUUGGAUUUAUUGAAGACUAACUACUGCGAAAGCAUUUGCCAAGGAUGUUUUCAUUAAUCAGGAACGAAAGUUAGGGGAUCGAAGACGAUCAGAUACCGUCGUAGUCUUAACCAUAAACUAUGCCGACUAGGGAUCGGACGAUGUUAUUUUUUGACUCGUUCGGCACCUUACGAGAAAUCAAAGUGC